rnacentral:rRNA from 1 species
UGGGGAAUAUUGGACAAUGGGCGGAAGCCUGAUCCAGCCAUGCCGCGUGUGUGAAGAAGGCCUUUUGGGUGUAAAGCACUUUAAGCGAGGAGGAGGCUACUUGGAUUAAUACUCUAGGAUAGUGGACGUUACUCGCAGAAUAAGCACCGGCUAACUCUGUGCCAGCAGCCGCGGUAAUACAGAGGGUGCGAGCGUUAAUCGGAUUUACUGGGCGUAAAGCGUGCGUAGGCGGCUUUUUAAGUCGGAUGUGAAAUCCCUGAGCUUAACUUAGGAAUUGCAUUCGAUACUGGGAAGCUAGAGUAUGGGAGAGGAUGGUAGAAUUCCAGGUGUAGCGGUGAAAUGCGUAGAGAUCUGGAGGAAUACCGAUGGCGAAGGCAGCCAUCUGGCCUAAUACUGACGCUGAGGUACGACAGCAUGGGGAGCAAACAGG